rnacentral:rRNA from 1 species
AGAGAGAGACAUGCGCGCAUAUCAAUAAGCGGAGGAAAAGAAACUAACUAGGAUUCCCUCAGUAACGGCGAGUGAAGCGGGAAGAGCUCAAAUUUGAAAUCUUCAAGGUUCUACCUUGACGAAUUGUAGUUUAAAGAAGUGUUUUCUGUUGGAGGUUUUGGUAAAAGUUCUUUGGAAUAGGACAUCAUAGAGGGUGAGAAUCCCGUAUUUGACCAUUAUUUUCAGCUUUGUGAUACACUUUCAAAGAGUCGGAUUGUUUGGGAAUGCAGUCCAAAAUGGGUGGUAAAUUUCAUCUAAAGCUAAAUAUUGGCGAGAGACCGAUAGCGAACAAGUACCGUGAGGGAAAGAUGAAAAGAACUUUGAAAAGAGAGUUAAACAGUACGUGAAAUUGUCAAAAGGGAAGCGUUUGGACACCAGUGUUGUUUUCUCGAAAAUCAAUUAAAAAAGGCAGGAUUUUGUGUUGUAUUGACUUUAUCAGCUUUCUGCACUCUUUUCUUGUCUUUUUUAAUGCACUUUUCGUUUAACAAGUCAACAUCAAUUUCUUUUGUUGUAAAAGGGUCAUUGGAAGGUGGCUUUCUUUUCGGAGAAAGUGUUUAUAGCCUUUGGCCUCUGCAAUCGGAGAGAUUGAGGUCUGCAGCGUAGAUCCUUCGGGGUUAGAUACAUUUGUGCUAAGUUAUAGCCUUUCAUAGACAACUUGUUGACUAUGAUCAGUCAUGUAGCUUACUCGCUUAUGCUAUUUUACCUACGCUUAGGAUGUUGAUGUGAUACUGCGAGCA